rnacentral:rRNA from 1 species
CCUUGACGGUACCUAACCCAGAAAGCCAGGCUAAUACGUGCCAGCAGCCGCGGUAAUACGUAGGUGGCAAGCGUUGUCCGGAAUUAUUGGGCGUAAAGGGCUCGCGGCGGUUUCUUAAGUCUGAUGUGAAAGCCCCCGGCUCAACCGGGGAGGGUCAUUGGAAACUGGGGAACUUGAGUGCAGAAGAGGAGAGUGGAAUUCCACGUGUAGCGGUGAAAUGCGUAGAGAUGUGGAGGAACACCAGUGGCGAAGGCGACUCUCUGGUCUGUAACUGACGCUGAGGAGCGAAAGCGUGGGGAGCGAACAGGAUUAGAUACCCUGGUAGUCCACGCCGUAAACGAUGAGUGCUAAGUGUUAGGGGGUUUCCGCCCCUUAGUGCUGCAGCUAACGCAUUAAGCACUCCGCCUGGGGAGUACGGUCGCAAGACUGAAACUCAAAGGAAUUGACGGGGGCCCGCACAAGCGGUGGAGCAUGUGGUUUAAUUCGAAGCAACGCGAAGAACCUUACCAGGUCUUGACAUCCUCUGACAAUCCUAGAGGAUAGGACGUCCCCUUCGGGGGCAGAUGACAGGUGGGUGCAUGGUUGUCUCACUCGUGU